CUACUCGUAUAAGAGGCUAAGGAGGGCGUCCACAGGAUACCGUGCCCCCGCCCCUAUGGUCACUGCGCGCUCGAGACACCGCCCGCACGUGACACCGUGUGCAUGCCCGCCCCCACCCCUUCCCCAGCACGGUGCCCGUCAUCAGCGCCUCUUCUCCCGCCCCCAUCCUCCCCGGCCUCGGCGCCGCCCCCGCCCCUGUCCUCAACGGCUCUGCGACUUCUCCGGGCACCGCUUGCACGCCAUCAGCGCCAUCCCCGAUACCUCAACUUGCAUAUCGCGCGCCGCCAUCCACCUUGCCCAUCGUGUGUCGCAUGCCCAAAUCUCAUAUUUUUAUGCCCCACGCAGCCUAGGCCAUCCCACCGCAGAGCAGGAAAACCCUAGCGUACCCACGGACCAUUGCUGGCCCACAUGGCAUCCCGGCCUGUGGCCACAUCCAUCUCGGCGCCUCGCCCGCCACACCCAACACGCUGCACCGCCGCUGCCGCUUCUCCUCCCCCACCGCACCAUCGCCCUGAGUACCACCGCACACGCCGCCGGGGCCGCAUCUCUCCCCGUCAGGGCCCAGCCGAACACUGUCGUCGCCUCCACCUCCGCGUUUGGGCCACCGCAAGAGUUCAGGGCUCCUCUAGGGUUCGAGAUCAAAUCCGGCCAGUAGAGCAGCAUCCUCAGCACCACGCUCACCAUCCCCCUCUACCUCGGCACCGGCGUCUUCACCCUCGGGUACACACCACGCCUUUUCUCACCAUCUGAGCAUUGCCAAGGAGCUCCUCUCCAUCCCCGAUGGCACCACUUCAGAUUCCUGAUCAGCAGGAGAGUCGUUGAGGCUGAGACGACGGCACGAAUGCGGCAAGGAGCUUCAGAUUCACUGCCAUUAGAAACUUGCAGGUGAGGAAGGAGAGGGUCCAAGUUCCUGACCUCUGCAUCGACUGAGAGGGUCCAAGUUCCUGACCCCUGCAUUGACUAAUUAUCUUUGAGUUUCAUCAUUAUGUUGAAAUUGGUAUGCGUUCAAAAUACUCAAUUGAUUCUCACGGCUACCGUGCCUCCUAGCGAAACUUGCUUUUCGUUGGAGUAUCUGGCGUAGUAAUGGAAAAAAUUACCUUCUCCCUUUGAGGGUUCAGUCCAUUUCGUUCUCUAUAAUUGUCACCUACCCUUCCCGAGCCUACUUUUGUUGCUACUAUAAGAAUAAGAAUGAAAUAAGCUUCAUCUCUAUUUGUUUCUGAUAUGAAUUGUGUAGCUUAGAGUUGUCUCUUAACUUACAAUCUUACAUUGGUGUAAAACAGUGACCACACUAAAAGCACAAAUGCAAGGUUUUACAGACCAGUUGUGAUGCUACUACCACUAACAUGUACAAAUAGGAAAGGCAAGAAAAUGGCUUAGAGCAAGUAUUUUUAAAGAAAAAGUGAUCCAUUUAAGAAACCUUUUUAUUAAGUUACUCCUGAUACCAGCUCCUCAUUCCGCGAGUGUCUUCAGCUUCACUUUCUCUAUCUGUUGUACGCGGGUGUCUCUUCGUCUUGUGUGUGAGUUGGAUGAGAACUAGACAACUGGUAGGAACCACUCUCUGUUUCAGUUUCUGUUUGUGUUUCACUUCAGUUCAGGUUGUCUGCGCUCUUCUCUUAGGGAUCGAGAAUCAUAGGGAGGUUCCUCGCUUCUAUAAGAAAUAUGUGCCUUUUUGUUUCAUUUUCCUUGUGGAGUUGUAGUUCAGUUCAGUUCAUCUUCGUGCAUGGGGAGUGCUUGGUUCGAUUGUUCACAGCCAUAGGUGCUACAGAUUCGUCUAUGGCGAAGACAGAAGUUUUUGUUUUCAUGAUGUUUUCAUGGAAGAUGGCGAGAAGCUCUCCACCCUUAUCAUAGUUAACUCUUUUGAUUAAGUGAUUAACCAAUUUAGUAACACAUAUUUAAUGUUUUAGCUUGUUUGGUUUAGAUAUGGAGGUCCGUCAGUAAUUUUGUAAUUUUUUGUAUUAUCUUUAUCUGGAAACUAAGUUGUAUGUAGUGACAGGUAAGAAAUACUGUGGUGGUUUGGACCUCAGUUAUUGGCCAGAUGAAGGGCGGAGGCCAUUAUCAGAUCCUCGUCCACCUUUGGGCUACUGCUGAUAAGAGGACGAGUGUCGUACACCUCUCCAAUUCCCCCCUUCAAUGUGGUCAGUGCUGAAUCAUCUACGUCAUACAGUGAACAAGGGCAUACUGAUGAGAGAAGGGAUGACAUGGAUUUUUCUCAUUCGAGCAUCAGGUUUUGUGCGCUGAUUAUGGUGUGGUCGUUGGUGAGACUGCAACGCCCUCUGUAAUCAUCUCUCUGACAAGUUAGAUUAUGUGCUGAAAUUUCUGUUAUUUUUGUUGGAUUGUAUUGUUGUGAAAGGGGGCAUAGUACGAUGAAUUGGGGACUGAAAGAGCAUAGCAGAGCAGAGGGCCUAUGUAAUAUAAUUUUUUAUGUAUAAAUUGUGCAAAAACAAAUUACCUCUUUUGGGUUUCAAUCAUUUGACAACCCUUGGACCCUGACAUUAUAUUAGUUUACUUACCUUGACCUUGUGAUGAGUUUUGGAAUAUUUGGAGGAGGUUCACAUGGACCGAACAGCCUGUUUAGUAGCUUUGCUUCAGCACAGUAAACUAUAUUUAGAACAUUUGGAUGGUAAACUAUUCCAAUCGUUGUUGUUACAUGGUAUCAGAGGAUUUGGCAGUCAAGUCAAUGCCUCAAUUGUGAGAUAUUGAAAUCGAUGAUAAUAUAUGUCAGCUCCGGCGAACGAGAAGGCGUACCGCAGGGCCAUGAAGUGCGCCUGCCUAGCCGCUGCGGCCGUUCUCCACGAGGGCAGUGGCACAAGCCUGGACGCCGUUGCUGCUGCCAUUCAAAUUUUGGAGGUUAGUGCUAUUGCUAUAUGACCUACUGUAGCUUUACUCUUGUAGUAUCUAUGUAUAAAUAAUUUUUAAAAACAUUGGU